rnacentral:rRNA from 1 species
GUGAGGAAUAUUGGACAAUGGGCGCAAGCCUGAUCCAGCCAUGCCGCGUGCAGGAAGACGCAUCUAUGGUGUGUAAACUGCUUUUGUACGGGAAGAAACACUCCCUCGUGAGGGAGCUUGACGGUACCGUAAGAAUAAGGAUCGGCUAACUCCGUGCCAGCAGCCGCGGUAAUACGGAGGAUCCAAGCGUUAUCCGGAAUCCUUGGGUUUAAAGGGUCCGUAGGCGGUUUAAUAAGUCAGUGGUGAAAGCCCAUCGCUCAACGAUGGAACGGCCAUUGAUACUGUUAGACUUGAAUUACAAGGAAGUAACUAGAAUAUGUAAUGUAGCGGUGAAAUGCUUAGAUAUUACAUGGAAUACCAAUUGCGAAGGCAGGUUACUACUUGUGGAUUGACGCUGAUGGACGAAAGCGUGGGGAGCGAACAGGAUUAGAUACCCUGGUAGUCC